rnacentral:lncRNA from 1 species
CAUUAACCAUGGCGGUCCGGCAUGUCACCAUGGCGGUCUGGCAUGUCACCAUGGCGGUCCGGUGUUUAGAAGAGUUGGUCCGGCGCUUAAGUCACUGAUUUGGAAUGAUCCGGCACUUCACCAUGACGGUUUGGCACUUCAUCAUGGUGGUCUGAAGUUUGGAAGAGGCGGUCCGGCAUUUGUUUCUAGAUUAAUGAGCGAUCCGGCAUUUGUGAGCUACAGUCUGACAAAAUUGAAAAUUGUGUCGGGAAUACGCGGCCCGGCAAGUGUACAAUUCUGGUCCGGCAUAAUGGAUAGGUUCAACAAUAUGCAACCACGGUCCUGUUUUUC